GGUGGGGGGGGGGUGCUUUACACAUGGCAAGUCGAACGAUGAACCUCCUUCGGGAGGGGAUUAGUGGCGAACGGGUGAGUAACACGUGGGCAAUCUGCCCUUCACUCUGGGACAAGCCCUGGAAACGGGGUCUAAUACCGGAUAACACUGCGGAUCGCAUGGUCUGCGGUUAAAAGCUCCGGCGGUGAAGGAUGAGCCCGCGGCCUAUCAGCUAGUUGGUGGGGUAAUGGCCUACCAAGGCGACGACGGGUAGCCGGCCUGAGAGGGCGACCGGCCACACUGGGACUGAGACACGGCCCAGACUCCUACGGGAGGCAGCAGUGGGGAAUAUUGCACAAUGGGCGAAAGCCUGAUGCAGCGACGCCGCGUGAGGGAUGACGGCCUUCGGGUUGUAAACCUCUUUCAGCAGGGAAGAAGCGAAAGUGACGGUACCUGCAGAAGAAGCGCCGGCUAACUACGUGCCAGCAGCCGCGGUAAUACGUAGGGCGCAAGCGUUGUCCGGAAUUAUUGGGCGUAAAGAGCUCGUAGGCGGCUUGUCACGUCGGAUGUGAAAGCCCGGGGCUUAACCCCGGGUCUGCAUUCGAUACGGGCAGGCUAGAGUGUGGUAGGGGAGAUCGGAAUUCCUGGUGUAGCGGUGAAAUGCGCAGAUAUCAGGAGGAACACCGGUGGCGAAGGCGGAUCUCUGGGCCAUUACUGACGCUGAGGAGCGAAAGCGUGGGGAGCGAACAGGAUUAGAUACCCUGGUAGUCCACGCCGUAAACGUUGGGAACUAGGUGUUGGCGACAUUCCACGUCGUCGGUGCCGCAGCUAACGCAUUAAGUUCCCCGCCUGGGGAGUACGGCCGCAAGGCUAAAACUCAAAGGAAUUGACGGGGGCCCGCACAAGCAGCGGAGCAUGUGGCUUAAUUCGACGCAACGCGAAGAACCUUACCAAGGCUUGACAUCGCCCGGAAAGCAUCAGAGAUGGUGCCCCCCUUGUGGUCGGGUGACAGGUGGUGCAUGGCUGUCGUCAGCUCGUGUCGUGAGAUGUUGGGUUAAGUCCCGCAACGAGCGCAACCCUUGUUCUGUGUUGCCAGCAUGCCCUUCGGGGUGAUGGGGACUCACAGGAGACUGCCGGGGUCAACUCGGAGGAAGGUGGGGACGACGUCAAGUCAUCAUGCCCCUUAUGUCUUGGGCUGCACACGUGCUACAAUGGCCGGUACAAAGAGCUGCGAAGCCGCGAGGCGGAGCGAAUCUCAAAAAGCCGGUCUCAGUUCGGAUUGGGGUCUGCAACUCGACCCCAUGAAGUCGGAGUUGCUAGUAAUCGCAGAUCAGCAUUGCUGCGGUGAAUACGUUCCCGGGCCUUGUACACACCGCCCGUCACGUCACGAAAGUCGGUAACACCCGAAGCCGGUGGCCCAACCCCUUGUGGGAGGGAGCUGUCGAAGGGUGGACCGGGGU
rnacentral:rRNA from 1 species